GAUGAACGCUGGCGGCGUGCCUAAUACAUGCAAGUCGAGCGAACGGACGAGAAGCUUGCUUCUCUGAUGUUAGCGGCGGACGGGUGAGUAACACGUGGAUAACCUACCUAUAAGACUGGGAUAACUUCGGGAAACCGGAACUAAUACCGGAUAAUAUUUUGAACAGCAUGGUUCAAAAGUGAAAGACGGUCUUGCUGUCACUUAUAGAUGGAUCCGCGCUGCAUUAGCUAGUUGGUAAGGUAACGGCUUACCAAGGCAACGAUGCAUAGCCGACCUGAGAGGGUGAUCAGCCACACUGGAACUGAGACACGGUCCAGACUCCUACGGGAGGCAGCAGUAGGGAAUCUUGCGCAAUGGGCGAAAGCCUGACGGAGCAACGCCGCGUGAGUGAUGAAGGUCUUCGGAUUGUAAAACUCUGUUAUCAGGGAAGAACAUAUGUGUAAGUAACUGUGCACACCUUGACGGUACCUAAACAGAAAGCCACGGCUAACUACGUG
rnacentral:rRNA from 1 species